AUUGAACGCUGGCGGCAGGCCUAACACAUGCAAGUCGAACGAGUGGCGGACGGGUGAGUAAUGUCUGGGAAACUGCCCGAUUGAGGGGGAUCACUACUGGAAACGGUAGCUAAUACCGCCUACCAUCGGAUGGACCCAUAUGGGAUUAGCUUGUAGGUGAGGUAAUGGCUCACCUAGGCGACGAUCCCUAGCUGGUCUGAGAGGCUGACCAGCCACACUGGAACUGAGACACGGGCCAGACUCCUACGGGAGGCAGCAGUGGGGAAGAUUGCACAAUGGGCGCAAGCCUGAUGCAGCCAUGCCGCGUGUAUGAAGAAGGCCUUAGGGUUGUAAAGUACUUUCAGCGGGGAGGCGUUACCGGCAGAAGAAGCACCGGCUAACUCCGUGCCAGCAGCCGCGGUAAUAC
rnacentral:rRNA from 1 species